GGGAUUUUGGGUCGCAUUUCAGCUGCGUCCCGGCCGGCGUGUCUCCCACGUGGAUCCAACACACCGUUUCCUGUUUGUACAGGAAGUCCAUGGCUGUGGUCUGUUUUGUGCUGGUGUAGAGCGAUGAGCUGCUAGCGCCGCUCAGAGACGUGGCCUGGAUGUUCUGAGAGUUAGCGAUUAGCAACACGGGCAGGCGAUCCACAGGCACUGAGAGACACAGGAGAAACGUGAAGGGACUGAAGACGGAUUAAAUGGUUCCUGCAGAUGCAGAGGAACUGUUUAUUACCGUUCUUAGCUUUGCAGGAUCGGUUAUCAGGCUGAGGGAGAUAACCUUCCACACAGGAGCAGAAAUACGAGCCCUCGGUGUUCGUACACGUCUGACUGCACGUCCCGUAUACCGUACACUCGUCAAAAUCUGAACACACACACACACACGCACACACACACACACACACGCACAUAUGCGCGCGUGCACGCACACAGGACAGGGUGAUGAGUGAGGACCAGAAUUUUUAGGAGGACUGGUUGGGUCCUCAUGAAGGAGAAAAUAUGUUCACACACACACACACACACACACACACACACACACACACACACACACACACACACACACACACACUCUUUGCCUUGAUGUAAGUGUUCCAAAAGGAUCUUUGAACUUGACUAAUUGACACUCUGUGUGUGUGUGUGUGUGUGUGUGUGUGUGUGUGUGUGUGUGUGUGUGUGUGUGUACCUUUACAUAGUUUCCCGUCCUGGCUGAUCUCAUAGCCGUUCUUGCAGUAACACACAGGACCGGAGUGUGUGACGGCGCAGUUUUCCUGACAGCCAGCGAGCGUACAGUUCGAGAUCAAUUCUGAGAAAAGUAACACACACACAUACACACACACACACACACACACACACACACACACACACACACACACACACACACGUAAAGCUGGGUUUUGUGUUUAAAUAUAUUACGCACACUUCUGCACUUGGUUGCGCUGUAGAGAACAGAAUCAUGCAGAAUGACAUCACUCACAGUUCAGAGAAUUAAUAAAUGAAUGAAUAAAAUUCUAGUCAUGAUAAAUUCUACACAAACUCAAACUGCAACACUCCAACAUUUUAAUACAAACUUUAAUACAACAUUUUGUAUGUAAAAAAAGUAGCAAUCAAAAAAUGUCACUAAUUAUUUGAUCAUUUCUAUAGAACUAAAGAUUCUAUUUGUAUAAUUAGACUCAGUAUAAUUUAUCUUCAUUACUUUUAUACUAGAUUUUCUUUUACAAACCAAAUAUUUUGAGAAUUCCCUUAUUUUCCCAAUGAUAUUUUUUUAUUGACUUAUUAUUAUCUAUUUACUUUUUAUUCCUUACAUUGUUUCUUAAUGAUUUACAUUUUAUUAUAGAUUUGAUUUACUUUCCUUGCCAAACAUUUUAAUCUGAAUUUCACCUAUAAAUGUGCUAGAAAUAUAAAGAUGAUUAUUAUAUUAUAUAAUAGUAUAAUUAUAAUAUGGUACACUAUUAUUAUUAUUAUUAUUGUUGUUGUUGUUAUUUUUAUGUAAAGCAUUUCCAGUUACUCUGCACAAACUAACUCUCUUUCUCUGUGUGUGCAUGAGUGUAUGCGUGUACAUGUGUGUGUACGUGUGUGUGUGUGUAUAUAUGUGUGUGUUUGUGCACGUGUGUGUCUAAGCAAAUAGCACGAGUUUUUGCUUCACUUUUAAUCCUUAAGAGGAUUGUAAGAAGCUUGAUGGAGAUUUUGCUCAACAUUCACUUCAUACUGCAUCUUCAUGAAUGUGUGUGUGUGUGUGUGUGUGUGUGUGUGUGUGUCAUACUAAGACACAAUUACUGUAAACCCCUGAAUAACAAUUUAUUUAAUCCAUGUUUUUGACUCACUAAUGACUCACUUUACUCAAUAUUCAACACCGGAAUUUGGCGAUUCUUUGGUUCUCCAGCCCUGAAACCAUAAUUUCUAGAACAUUCCAAAACUAUUUGUUGGAACGACGUUGGAAUUUUCGCAUUUGCUAUUUUUAUUUAAGCGGCUCCUUCCCUAUCAAGUACGACUUGUUUUAUUUAUUUCAUAAUCAGUAAUGUGUCUGUUUACUGAAAACCAGAUUAUACUUAUAAUAAUCUACACACAGCAACAAAACAAAGCAUGCAGUUAUAACACACACACACACACACACACACACACACACACACACACCUCAAAUUAUUUCUAUUUUCUGUCACAGACACACACACCCGAGGGUUUAAGAGGUUUAACACAUGAUUUAUUUGAAGAACCACCUUUGUUUAGCACACGAUUGAAACAUUUAUACUAGACUGUCUCAAACACACACACACACACACACACACACACACACACACACACACAGAGUAGAAAAGUUAAAAAAAAAAAAAAAAAAAAACCUAUGAGGAGAUAAAAUCCAUGUUAUGGCUCCAUAAAAGGAUAAAAACACACCCAAACAUUCAAACCAUUCUGACCAAAUAAAACCAUUUUUAACUCGAGACGUCAUCAUCUGACUCUCGUUCUCUAAAGUCUGGAUUCCAAGUUUUAAUUUCUAAGAUUAAAUUUGCAGAUUGCAAAUCCUAAAAUCUCUCGGUCCAGCAAACACAUCCAGGUCAGGAUAUAAGAGACGCUAGAAUUGCCACGAAAUGAGGUUUAGGACGGAUGCAAUCGCAGUUAAGAGUUUUAUUGAAUAGAGACAUGCAGAUGAAUCCAAAUCAUAAAACAGAGACGUAGUCAGAAACGAGCAAUGGGUCGGGCAAUGGGCAAACAGGCAUAAACGGGGCUAGGCAGGAAUCGAAGUCGCGCUCACUGGAAACGGGGUCAAAACACGAAACAUGAAACUAUGACUGGGAACUGGGAGCAGAAAACACCAGCGUGGUCUAAAUGAACCAAUCUAACAAACUAAAUUAACCUAUCGAGGUACAUAACAUUAACUAUCUACUAUCUGACUAUAAUACUCUGCAAAGUGUACUGUGAGGCGAGGGGUAUAUAUCCUGAACAUAAUCAGCGUUAAGUGCUGACAGCUGAAAACAAUGAAGACACACCCUCGAACAACAACUAAUGACAAAACUGGGAGGAGACAGAACAGAAACAAAACAAACGCACGUGUCCAUAGUCAACAAUGUCACAAUUAUCGACAUUUGAAGAGUGUGGCUUUGAACCUGGCUCGAGCGCACGCACGCUCUCCGGCACUCUGAGCGUGCUGCAGGCUGCAGUUCUGUCUAAAGGGGAGAUCGUUACAAGAAUGCGAUCGAUUUUUGAGAAUAAAGUCAUAAACAUUUGAGAAAAUGUCUUUGUAAAAGUCGUAAUAUGAUCCAAUGGUCCAUCUGAAACAUCUAACAUUCGUGUGUUAGAUGUUCAGGACCCCGUUACAGCUUUUAGACUCGCUAUAAUCCUUUAAAGUAUGAGCCAUAUGAGUCGGCCUACAGGGAGGAGCUCUAAGGCGUAGCUGCGUGGUGUUCCACCAACAACUUCACCCUCAACAACCAGAGGACCAAAGAGCUCAUUGUGGACUUUUAGAUUUCCAGAAGUAGCAGACACUCUCCCAUCUACAUCAAUGAGACUGAAGUAGAGUGUCUCCAGCUUCAUGUUCCUGAGUGUCCACGUCUCAGAGGAUCUGUCCUGGCACCAUAACACUUCAAUUCCGGUUAGAAAGGUGCAACAGUGUCUUCACUUCCUGAGGAGACUGAAGAAAGUUCCUGUCUCCCCAGACCUUAACAAGCUUCUAUCGCUGAACAUCGAGAACAUCCAUCACAGUGUGUGGAGCUCCACAGCAAAGGCUGGUGAAAACACAUUGUGUGCUCAUUCGCCAUACUAAGUGCACUGGAGUUCCAGAUGUUGAGCAGAGAGUACGCUUCGCGUGACGCAGAUUUCAUCCUCAGCAGAGUACGCGUGUACUGCACAUGCGCCGCACGAUUUCUCUAACCAUUUUGAAUUCUUUUGCACUAUUUAGUUGUUCCACAAGGUGGCAGCAGUAAGCCAGGGCCAUUGAUUCUCAAGGUAGUUAAUGAAAAAACGGAAUAAACGGAAGAGACGGAAACGAGUGCAGGUUAGAAAGCACACGCAUUUGUAUAAUUAUAGCCUUAAAGAGUAUACGGAUUUGUAUACAGAUGCUAAUCACGGCGAGAGAUUACAGAAGAGUUGUUCUUCUUGUUGUUGUGAUUCUUCUUCGUUGACGUCCUUCACACCUGAAGACCUGCUUUACUGCUCUGUACUGACUCCUGUAUGCCAGGAGGGGCAGUGCAAGUUAUCGUAACGUGCACGCGUCGACCGCCUGCGACUGUGCGUAUACGCUAGCGUACGCGUAAAUAAAGGAAGUAUACCUGAGGCUUUACACUGCAGAUGUGAUCAUCAGUAGCCUUGAUCAGUCUGUAUAGGACUUGCAGUUUUUUGUGAUUGUUGAGGAUAAAUACUGGAUUUUGCAAAACGUUUUUUGCAGUUUCGCAGGGGUUUUUUUGCAGAAAACUGCUCGAAUUGGUGAAAUUGCUCGAAAUCGCACGCUCUCUCCGUGAUGUUUGCUGGCAAAUGAGAACUUUCAGCUGCACUUUUAGUGCCAUAUAGUUUUGUAUCCUGAAAUUUAGAUGAUUUGUGAAAACACUUUAUGAAGGAAGAACUUUUUUUUUACAGAUUUGAGUUAUUUAAAGAAUCUCGAUUUCUGUUAGGAGCUUUUCUUUUUGCUCUCAAACGUCACAUCACAUCUCCACGCUUUAUUCUAAACUAAAUUUAAAUCAGCUAAUUAGCAUGAACACCACACUUACAAUCACUGUGUGAACAGCUGUAACACACACACACACACACACACACACACACACACACAGCUGUAACACACACCCAUGCAACACUUAUACGACACCUAUGUGACAAACACAACUUCUAACAACUACUUGCUCGUGCGUGCGUGCGUGCGUGCGUGUGUACGCACCUCGGCAGUGCGCCCCCUCAUCUGAUCCAUCAGGACAGUCAGAGACGCCAUUACACAUCUUGCUCAUGUGCACACACACCUCCGUCCCCUCACACUGCUGCUCAUUCGGGGGACACAGUGACACUCGCGUGUGAGGACCUGAGAGACAGACAGGAGGAGAGUAUUAUACACAGACAGGCAAAGAGAGACAGACAAGAGUAAGGGGCUCAGAUUAUCAGACAGACAGACAGACACAUUUCAUAUCACUAAAAUUAUCUCUGCUUUUUAACCAUGUGCUUCUGUUUGGUAAACACACACACACACACACACACACACACACACACACACACACACA
ensembl:lncRNA